GAUGAACGCUGGCGGCGUGCCUAAUACAUGCAAGUCGAGCGAACAGAUGAGGAGCUUGCUCCUCUGACGUUAGCGGCGGACGGGUGAGUAACACGUGGAUAACCUACCUAUAAGACUGGGAUAACUUCGGGAAACCGGAGCUAAUACCGGAUAAUAUAUUGAACCGCAUGGUUCAAUAGUGAAAGACGGUUUUGCUGUCACUUAUAGAUGGAUCCGCGCCGCAUUAGCUAGUUGGUAAGGUAACGGCUUACCAAGGCAACGAUGCGUAGCCGACCUGAGAGGGUGAUCGGCCACACUGGAACUGAGACACGGUCCAGACUCCUACGGGAGGCAGCAGUAGGGAAUCUUCCGCAAUGGGCGAAAGCCUGACGGAGCAACGCCGCGUGAGUGAUGAAGGUCUGCGGAUCGUAAACUCUGUUAUUAGGGAAGAACAAAUGUGUAAGUAACUAUGCACGUCUUGACGGUACCUAAUCAGAAAGCCACGGCUAACUACGUG
rnacentral:rRNA from 1 species